rnacentral:rRNA from 1 species
UACGGAGGAUGCGAGCGUUAUCCGGAUUUAUUGGGUUUAAAGGGUGCGUAGGCGGAAUAAUAAGUCAGUGGUGAAACCCUGCAGCUUAACUGUAGACUUGCCAUUGAUACUGUUUUUCUUGAGUAUGGUCAAGGCAGGCGGAAUGUGUAAUGUAGCGGUGAAAUGCUUAGAUAUUACACAGAACACCGAUAGCGAAGGCAGCUUGCUGGGCCGUUACUGACGCUGAUGCACGAAAGCGUGGGGAUCGAACAGG